rnacentral:rRNA from 1 species
CCUACGGGUGGCAGCAGUGAGGAAUAUUGGUCAAUGGACGAGAGUCUGAACCAGCCAAGUAGCGUGAAGGAUGACUGCCCUAUGGGUUGUAAACUUCUUUUAUAUAGGAAUAAAACAGGGUAUGCAUGCCCUCUUGUAUGUACCAUAUUAAUAAGGAUCGGCUAACUCCGUGCCAGCAGCCGCGGUAAUACGGGGGAUCCGAGCGUUAUCCGGAUUUAUUGGUUUUACAGGGAGCGUAGGUGGAUUGUUAAGUCAGUUGUGAAAGUUUGCGGCUCAACCGUAAAAUUGCAGUUGAAACUGGCAGUCUUGAGUACAGUAGAGGUGGGCGGAAGACGUGGUGUAGCGGUGAAAUGCUUAGACAUCACGAAGAACUCCGAGUGCGAAGGCAGCUCACUGGACUGCAACUGACACUGAUGCUCGAAAGUGUGGGUAUCAAACAGGAGUAGACACCCUGGUAGCC